rnacentral:tRNA from 1 species
UCCCCCGUGGCGCAAUUGGAUAGCGCGUUAGACUGUUAUACCUGUAGUAAUCUAAAGGUUGGUGGUUCAAACCCACCCGGGGGAG